AGUUUGUUGCACUCUCAGAUUUUGCAGAGUUUCCAUCGCCUCAACUCAGUAGCCAAGCCAGCCAAGACAUGUUUCAACUAGUCAACUGCAAGCCGUUGAACCCAUUACUCAAAGGGACUGAUGUUGGUUGGAAUCGUAUCCCAACAAGCACAGUCACAACUCCUAAUCAUCUUUGUGUGAGACUUGACAAUGUGAACAAAUAUGCAACGAGAUCUCUACUGCGCUUCCCAAGCCACACUAACCAUGGAGAUGGUUCGGAGCAAACUCCUAAUAGUCUUGACAAUACAGAUGACGGAGGCUACCUUUUAAGAGAGUGCAUUGAUGCAUUAUAAAAAUUUAAGAAUCUUAAUUCUGCAGCUUACUCCAAAGCCUUGGAUAAGUUGAAGAGUGAACCUUUUUGGAGAGUUGUGUUUUUAGAGUUGCCUAAAAGUAAGAAGAAAGAUUGGGUCCUCACUCUUUGAGUGUUUGCCUUCAAUCCUGUUAUUAUAUUAUAUGGUGUGUUUAAAAACCUUAUUGUGCAUAGCUAGUUUAUUUGUGAUAACUAGCUACUACUUUGUUAUAUAUAGAACAUUUUAGAUUUUGUUCA